GCUGGGUGUGGAAGCGCAGUAAUGCGUUAAGCUAACCAGUACUAAUUGCCCGUAAGGCUUGUCCC
rnacentral:rRNA from 1 species